rnacentral:rRNA from 1 species
UACGGAGGGGGCUAGCGUUGUUCGGAAUUACUGGGCGUAAAGCGCGCGUAGGCGGCUUUGUAAGUUAGAGGUGAAAGCCCGGGGCUCAACCCCGGAACUGCCUUUAAGACUGCAUCGCUUGAAUCCGAGAGAGGUGAGUGGAAUUCCGAGUGUAGAGGUGAAAUUCGUAGAUAUUCGGAAGAACACCAGUGGCGAAGGCGGCUCACUGGAUCGGUAUUGACGCUGAGGUGCGAAAGCGUGGGGAGCAAACAGG